rnacentral:lncRNA from 1 species
CGGAGGGACCCCUGACAUUUCACUAAAAUGAGCGUGCUCAGCAGGAAGAGAUGUGUUCCUCACGCUAGAAGCCACCCCGUCACAUGUAGUGGUGUCCCGUUUAAUGGAUUCUGACAUGGAUUAUGAAAGGCCAAACGUAGAGACCAUCAAGUGCGUUGUGGUGGGGGACAACGCCGUGGGUAAGACCAGGCUCAUCUGUGCCCGCGCUUGCAAUGCCACCCUCACCCAGUACCAGCUGCUGGCCACGCAUGUGCCCACAGUAUGGGCCAUCGACCAAUAUCGUGUGUGCCAGGAGGUAAGGCUGCAGGGCUACCUGGCUGGGGGUCCACGCCAUGAGUCUGGGCUUG